CCUCCCUGCUUCACGGCUCCUGGCUUGCGGCCAGCUCUCAGAGCUCCAUCUGGGAUUCCUGAUCGGCAGAUCGGGGCAGCCCCAAUAUAAAAGAGUUGCCUGACUGUGGGUCCUCACCCACCCGUUAUUCACAAGGUUCUGUUCUAGAAAGCCCAAGGAUUGCCUGCUUGGUGGCUAACAAGAGGCAACUCCUUUUGCUUAAAAGUUAACUGUUGAUUUUGCUGAAAGACAGCUGCUGUACAGGAUACCCCAGGAUUGGCUUCUAAUAAAAAGGCUUGAACAUUGAAAACCCUAAAGUGAUAAACAAGCUUCCCCUCCCCUUGGGAAGAAAAAAAAGCUGGCGCCCACCGGUUUCCCUGUAGACCCUUAAGGAAAACAAGUUGGCGAUCACCCGUCUCUGUGCCUUGACACCUUCCCCUUCCCUUAAGAUGAAUGAGCUGACACCCAUCCAUCUCCCUGUUGAGCUGGCGCCCACUUGUCUCUGUGCGGACCCCUUCCCCCUCCCCUUCGCGGAUGCCUACCCAUCUCCCCCUGUAUAAAUACCCCUGCCCACUGCCAAAGAGCAGGACGGUGGUUUUUUGGACGUGAGUCUGCCGCCCUCCUCAUUUGUCGACAAAUAAAACCGCUUUCCUUUUCCUCAAACUUAGUUUCCUUUUAUUGGCUGAGGGAAACUGAGGCCGGCGUUCGGUAACAAACAUUGUAAUACUGAACUAAGCUGGUGCCUUCAAAGAGAUUGAAUAUUGAUGUUUCUGCUGUUUUCUGAUAUUUAUGGCAAAGCUUCCCAGAAACUUAAAUUCAAGUAAAAAUGUGGUAGCCUGUCAUUUGGAUGAUAGAAGGAAAUUUUGUGGAACCUCAGUAGAGCUCCUGAGACACUCCACGAAAUUUCUCCCUUUCCUCCUGGGAAAGGCAUUAGAUGAAUUUGUCCCAUUUGGUUUACCUAGUAAAGUAAAACAGAAGGGAAGCAUUGUCACUUGGGAAAAUGGUAAAACUUGACAUGUACAGAAAUGUUAACAUUGGUUUUCCAAAAUGUGUAUAAAAUCUCCCAGUAUCUGAUAUGUAUGUAAAUUGUCAAUGGUGAUUGUCACCUUGCAAUAUUGUAUACUUCAAUUGUUUGAUAUCUACAGAAAUUGUUUCUCGAGAAAAUAGGGGGGGAAGGCCUCAGCGGAUUACUAUUUUUUUUUCC